UACGGAGGGUGCAAGCGUUAUCCGGAAUCACUGGGUUUAAAGGGUGCGUAGGCGGCUUGAUAAGUCAGAGGUGAAAGCCCGCAGCUUAACUGCGGAACGGCCUUUGAUACUGUUGAGCUUGAAACAGGACGAGGUUGGCGGAAUGUGGCAUGUAGCGGUGAAAUGCAUAGAUAUGCCAUAGAACACCGAUUGCGAAGGCAGCUGGCUAGACCUGAUUUGACGCUGAGGCACGAAAGCGUGGGGAGCGAACAGGAUUAGAUACCCUGGUAGUCCACGCCCUAAACGAUGCUCACUCGACGUACGGUAGUAAUAUUGUGCGUCCAAGCGAAAGCGAUAAGUGAGCCACCUGGGGAGUACGUCGGCAACGAUGAA
rnacentral:rRNA from 1 species